ACUUUCACAAAUGACUUCAUGCUACCAGUUUUCAUCCUAAGCACACUACUAGAUCCAUCAUCUACAGCCAAGCGCCAUCACCUAACUCUGAUUCUCACCAGGGCACCAGGCCUUGCAACAGAUCCAGGUG